rfam:Clostridium grantii DSM 8605 genome assembly, contig: EJ34DRAFT_scaffold00005.5
UAGCUGGCGAAAGUCCAGUAAAGGUAAUCGUCAAGGAGCCUUUUAGCUAUCCACUAUGCAUAUAAGAGAUUAUAUGUUUAAAGUGUGGUGACAAAGUGUUCGGAAGAAUGCGAGCAAAAGUAUAGGUUGUAAUAUAA